rnacentral:rRNA from 1 species
UGGGGAAUAUUGCGCAAUGGGGGCAACCCUGACGCAGCAACGCCGCGUGAAGGAUGAAGGUUUUCGGAUUGUAAACUUCUUUUGUUGAGGACGAAAAAAGUGACGGUACUCAACGAAUAAGCCACGGCUAACUACGUGCCAGCAGCCGCGGUAAUACGUAGGUGGCAAGCGUUGUCCGGAUUUACUGGGUGUAAAGGGCGAGUAGGCGGGUUUGCAAGUCAGAUGUGAAAUACCGGGGCUUAACCCCGGGCUGCAUUUGAAACUGUAGAUCUUGAGUGAUGGAGAGGCAGGCGGAAAUUCCCGGUGUAGCGAUGGAAUGCGUAGAUAUCGGGAGGAACACCAGUGGCGAAGGCGGCCUGCUGGACAUUAACUGACGCUGAGGAGCGAAAGCGUGGGGAGCAAACAGGAUUAGAUACC